rnacentral:rRNA from 1 species
GAUGAACGCUGGCGGCGUGCCUAAUACAUGCAAGUCGAGCGAACGGACGAGAAGCUUGCUUCUCUGAUGUUAGCGGCGGACGGGUGAGUACCACGUGGAUAACCUACCUAUAAGACUGGGAUAACUUCAGGAAACCGUAGCUAAUACCGGAUAAUAUUUUGAACCGCAUGGUUCAAAAGUGAAAGACGGUCUUGCUGUCACUUAUAGAUGGAUCCGCGCUGCAUUAGCUAGUUGGUAAGGUAACGGCUUACCAAGGCAACGAUGCAUAGCCGACCUGAGAGGGUGAUCGGCCACACUGGAACUGAGACACGGUCCAGACUCCUACGGGAGGCAGCAGUAGGGAAUCUUCCGCAAUGGGCGAAAGCCUGACGGAGCAACGCCGCGUGAGUGAUGAAGGUCUUCGGAUCGUAAAACUCUGUUAUUAGGGAAGAACAUAUGUGUAAGUAACUGUGCACAUCUUGACGUUACCUAAUCAGAAAGCCACGGCUAACUACGUG